rnacentral:rRNA from 1 species
UACGUAGGGGGCGAGCGUUAUCCGGAAUUAUUGGGCGUAAAGGGUGCGUAGGCGGCCUUGUAAGUCAGGUGUGAAAGGCUACGGCUCAACCGUAGUUAGCACUUGAAACUGCAGGGCUUGAGUGCAGGAGAGGAGAGUGGAAUUCCUAGUGUAGCGGUGAAAUGCGUAGAUAUUAGGAGGAACACCAGUGGCGAAGGCGACUCUCUGGACUGUAACUGACGCUGAGGCAUGAAAGCGUGGGGAGCGAACAGGAUUAGAUACCCUGGUAGUCCACGCCGUAAACGAUGAGUACUAGGUGUUGGGGUCGACAGGCUUCAGUGCCGCAGUCAACACAUUAAGUACUCCGCCUGGGGAGUACGGUCGCAAGACUGAA